ACAUUUCUUUAAGAUUUUUAUUUAAAGUAUUCCCUGCCCUAUGAAUAUUUAAAUGGCUGCAGUAUUCUGACUGUGCAAAGGUAGCAUAAUAAAUAGUUCUUUAAUUGAGAACUGGUAUGAAUGGGUUAAUGAGAAAUUUAUUUUAUUAUUAUUAUUAUUUGAUUUUAAUUUUUGAGUUAAAAAGCUUAAUUUUUUUUUUGGGACGAAAAGACCCUAUAGAACUUUAUUUAAUUUUUUUACAAAAUGUUUUUUGUAUGUUUUUAUUUUUUGUAAUUUUUAUUUUAUUUUACUGGGGUGGUAAUUAAAUUUAAACUUUAAUUUAUUUUUUCAAUUAUUUUUGAUUUUUUUGAUCUGAGGAAUAUUUGAUUAGAAGACUAAGUUACCUUAGGGAUAACAGCGUAAUUUUAAUGGAAAGUUCAUAUUUAUAUUAGAGUUUGCGACCUCGAUGUUGAAUUAAGAUAAAAUUGAGGGGUAGGUUCUUCAUUUUUAAGUCUGUUCGACUUUUAAAUUCUUACAUGAUCUG
rnacentral:rRNA from 1 species